rnacentral:lncRNA from 1 species
UGGAAGACAAGAAGACCAACUACUUACACGGUAGUUACAUCAGGAAUUACCCCUUUUAAAGACAGGAAGUCCUGAAAGCCCAAGAAUAAUCAAGUAACAACAAACACCAACUAUACUGUGUUUGUUGUGUGAUAUGCAGGUAACUUAGAACUUAAGCAUUUAAUUUAAAAUUUCCUAUUUUCUGCUUUCAUUAUCAUGCUCAAAGACCUUUUUAAAUAACUACCAGCUUGGCUAGUUGAGGUUACUGAAAAUCUGAUUUGCAGAUAUAAUUUUUCAUUAGUGCAUGUUCUCUCAGAGUCUAUCUUAGAUUCCAAUUUCAGUUGGUUUCAGUAUAUAUGCACCAACAUGAGAACUCAAGAACAAAGCUGACAGGCAAUUAAACAUACAAUAGUAACAAGUUUUUAUAUUGCUAUUAGGAAAGACUGAUUAUGACUAGCAUUUUAUUC